rnacentral:pre_miRNA from 1 species
CAAGUACUCCCUCCGUUCGGAAUUACUUGUCUCGGAAAUGAAUGUAUCUAGAACUAAAAUACAUCUAGAUACAUCCAUUUCUACGACAAGUAAUUCCGAACGGAGGGAGUAGAAU